rnacentral:rRNA from 1 species
UUGAAAGGGAAACGAUUGAAGUCAGUCGUUCCUUCGGGUAAUCAGCCUUUCGGGUGCGAUUCUGUGGAGUUUGAGGAGCUUAACACCUUCAUGCUUUGCAUAUUCGUGCUCUUGGGUGUACUUGCCCGUGUGGUUGGUUAACAUCAAUUUUGGUGGUCAUAAAAUGACUGGAGGAAAGUAGCUUCGAUCUCGUAUUGAAGUGUUAUAGCCUUCGGUAGAUGUGAUGAUCGAGAUUGAGGAUUGCAACGGAUACCCUUCGGGGCUACCUGUCUGAUCUCUGAUCGUUGCUCUGGUGCCGAAAGCUUGCUUACGGUUAUCAAAGUCGAUGGUCAAUAGGUUAGAAUGGGUUAAAUUCGUUAAGGAUGUUGACGUA